GAUGAAGAACGUAGCGAAAUGCGAUAAGUAAUGUGAAUUGCAGAAUUCAGUGAAUCAUCGAAUCUUUGAACGCACCUUGCGCUCCUUGGUAUUCCGAGGAGCAUGCCUGUUUGAGUGUCAUUAAUAUAUCAACCUUCUCUUUUUUGAGUUGUUUGGAUGUGGGGGUUUGCUGGCCUCUUAAAUGAUUCAGCUCCCCUGAAAUGCAUUAGCAGAACAACCUGUUCAUUGGCGUGAUAAUUAUCUAUGCUAUUGAAUGUGAGGGCAGUUCAGCUUUCUAACCGUCCUUGGACAAUUCAUCAUUAAUGUGACCUCAAAUCAGGUAGGACUACCCGCUGAACUUAAGCAUAUCAAUAAGCGGAGG
rnacentral:misc_RNA from 1 species